AUUGAACGAUGGCGGCAGGCUUAACACAUGCAAGUCGAGCGAGCGGCGGACGGGUGAGUAAUGUCUGGGAAACUGCCUGAUGGAGGGGGAUAACUACUGGAAACGGUAGCUAAUACCGCAUACCAUCAGAUGUGCCCAGAUGGGAUUAGCUAGGAGGUGGGGUAAUGGCUCACCUGGGCGACGAUCUCUAGCUGGUCUGAGAGGAUGACCGGCCACACUGGACCUGAGAGGCGGUCCUGACUCCUACGGGAGGCAGCAGGGGGGAAUGUUGCACAAUGGGCGCAAGCCGGAUGCAGCCAUGCCGCGUGUGUGAAGAAGGCCUUCGGGUUGUAAAGCACUUUCAGCGAGGAGGCGUUACUCGCAGAAGAAGCACCGGCUAACUCCGUGCCAGCAGCCGCGGUAAUAC
rnacentral:rRNA from 1 species